UCGAAUGGAGGUCGAUUGUGCGCGGCACAUGUGAUGUCACCGUGCACAGUCAUUAUCUUCGUUAUUAUUCCACAUAGGCGCGCUCUAUAUUGCGUCUCGUGUUUAAUAACGUCCGCGGCGAAACGCUAAAGGUCUCAGGUAGUAAAAGGGGAGGACGAAGAGACGACGACAAGAGCGGCUACGAGAGGGACAACUUGACCGGCGCACGAAGGGUGCAGACGUGCCGACGUGCGUAAGGGCGAUAUAUAUGUUCCCAUGGCUUUUCCGCAACGGAUGACUUUCCCAAGCGAGAGAAGGGUCUCAAAGUUUAACGAUCCAACGACGACGUAAGCAGCAGAUAUCUCGUGAACGCGCACACGAGCGAACGACAGAGACAAGCUCUUUCCGUGGAGGUUGAAUUUUUUAGCUGCUGUCGCAGUCUCGAUGAGAACGCGCAAAUUAAUUAAAGACUUUGCGCCGAAGAAGUCGUUCACUCAACGUCUUUACGAAAUUUCGCACGAAAAUCGUUCCGCGAUUAUUAGGAGAAAAAGGCUUUCUCUCUCGCGCUCCUCAUAAUUUCCAAUUGCGCGCGAUAGAAAGCAAGCGAGGCGACGCGCAAAAUUCUCCUUAAAACUUUUAUAUCGCGACGUGACAACGACGACGACCGACAACGGUGAGGAGACUAGAGGGAUAUUUUCCUCUUCGCUCCUCGGAUUAGAGUAUGUAAAUAUUCCAUCUUCGAGAUUAUAUCCCGAGGCACGCGGAACAAAAGGUUUCGCGAGCACUGUUCGCGAACCCUUUGUCAUAUAUAUUGCCGACCGGGUAA